UUUUAGAAGGUAAGUUCACUUUACUCACAGUGUAACUUAUCUGGAUGAACCAGUAGAUUCAAAAUAAUUACUAGGUUCUACAGGUACAAGAGAGUUACAAGAGAGUAACAACUAGACAACUUUCUGAAACUUACUUUUUACUUUCCCAACACUCAUGGUGUAACUGUUCUCUACUCUUUCCGCUCUGCUGGAUGCCAGUUUUGGUUGCGUUGUGCUGCUGCUUACACUAGGCAUCUCCUGCUGAUAACAAGAGGGUUUUUUUCUAAAACUCAUCACCUCUUUGAUCGGUGUUUUGUAGUUUUGAGUCUCUACAGCCUCUGUAGUCAUGUAUCUGUCUCUCUACCUCAGAAUAAAGUUGAGUCUCUUAAGUCUAGCUCACACAUUUGUACAUUUAUGGUAAAAAUAUCACUGCUGAGGAACAUUUAUGGUAAAAAUAUCACUGCUGAGGUAAAUUUAUGGUAAAAAUAUCACUGCUGAGGCAAAUUCAUGGUUGGUUUGAAUUUGUGAAUUUCUUAUAUCAGGUCAAAAACUAUAAACAGAAUAAAAGCAAUAAUAACUUACAGUGGACGUUCAGCUUGAGCUGCUCUGAUUGACCCCGUCCAACAGAGUUAAACACAGUGCAGGAAACGGAGGUCUCCCGCAGGAUAUUUUUAAGGGUGUAGCGAUGUUCUGCUCCACUCUUCUUCACAGUGGUGUUCAUCUGAGAAACAGACCACUCGUAGCGAGAAGGUGGAGGUCUACUGGCAGCAGAACAUGUGAGUGAGAGAGAACCACCCUCAACCACACUGUUUCCUUCAGCCUGUAUUCUCACAUCUGAGGGGGCAUCUGUGAAAAAGCACAAAUAGACCACCAAGAAGGACUGAUCACAUCCAACAGGAUUAACUGUGGACGCUGUAAGAGGAAGCUGUCUGAAAGGGAUGUUCGGGUGCUAACGGCAGAAUUCAAUGUGAACCUCAACUCUCCUGUUUCCACCAGAACUGUUCGUCACCACAAUAAAUUAUUGUGCUCUAAAACCAGGUUUCAAUUUCAUUGUCCAACCCCUGUAUAUAUAGUACAAGUAAAAAUUUGGGCACACCUUCUUAUUUAAUGUUUUAGUUUAUUUUUGUCCUACAUAGUAAAUGAUUAGUGAAGUGAUUCAGACUAUAAAGGAACACAUAAGGAAUCAUGUAGUAACUUAAAAAUGUUAAACAAACCAAAAUACAUUUAGAUUAACUUGAGGUUUCUGAGGCUGGUAACUCUGAUUAACGUAUCAUGUGCUCUGCUGGACGCUCUGCUGGACGCUGGCCAGUUUUGGUUGCGUUGUGCUGCUGCUUACAUCAAGCUUCUCCUGCUGAUAACAAGAUUUUUUUUUUAAAUCAUCACCUCUUUUAUUGGUGUUUUGUAGUUUUGAGUCACUACAGCCUCUGUCGUCAUGUAUCUGUCUCUCUACACCAGAAUAAAGCUUUGAUU